GAUGAACGCUAGCGGCAGGCUUAACACAUGCAAGUCGAGGGGUAGAGGAAGCUUGCUUCCUUGAGACCGGCGCACGGGUGCGUAACGCGUAUGCAACCUACCUUUUACAGAGGGAUAGCCCAGAGAAAUUUGGAUUAAUACCUCAUAGUAUAUAGUCUUCGCAUGUUGACUAUAUUAAAGUUCCAACGGUAAAAGAUGGGCAUGCGUCCUAUCAGCUAGAUGGUAAGGUAACGGCUUACCAUGGCAACGAUAGGUAGGGGUCCUGAGAGGGAGAUCCCCCACACUGGUACUGAGACACGGACCAGACGCCUACGGGAGGCAGCAGUGAGGAAUAUUGGACAAUGGGCGCAAGCCUGAUCCAGCCAUGCCGCGUGCAGGAAGAAGCGUCUAUGGUGUGUAAACUGCUUUUGUACAGGAAGAAACACUGGUUCGUGAACCAGCUUGACGGUACUGUAAGAAUAAGGAUCGGCUAACUACGUGCCAGCCGCCGCUGUAACAC
rnacentral:rRNA from 1 species